UAAAACUUACUUUAAACAUGAAAUGAGCUUAAGAUCGGCCCUUACCUCUUGAAGAUCGAGAGAGAGACGUCCUAAACUCGAAGGUGGGAGAUUUUGAGUUCUUGAACCUCAAAGCUCCAAAACUUGCUUUAAACUCGAAAAUCUUCAAAACAAAGCAAAAGCUUGUGAAAAACUUGAAAGAUUUGAAGGAAAGAACUCAAGGAUGGUGAGGAAUGGCGGAAGGACUCACCUUGGCCGAAAAUGGGGAGAAGCUCGCCCGUUUUCGGCUAAGGGACCCUUUUAUAGUGGCUGGCCAGGCCACGUUCGGGGGCCGAAAGUGCCUCCGCA
rnacentral:lncRNA from 1 species